ACCGGUAGCGUAAUGCGAAUGGCUACGGAUUUAAUACACACAUUCAGACAUUGGGCGCGAAGGUCGAAUGUCAAAAGGAGAACAGUCCAGAGGUGGAGCUAAGGUACCAAAAUAACUUAUAUA
rnacentral:rRNA from 1 species